GACGAACGCUGGCGGCGUGCCUAAUACAUGCAAGUAGAACGCACAGGAUGCACCGUAGUUUACUACACCGUAUUCUGUGAGUUGCGAACGGGUGAGUAACGCGUAGGUAACCUGCCUGGUAGCGGGGGAUAACUAUUGGAAACGAUAGCUAAUACCGCAUAAGAACAUUUACUGCAUGGUAGAUGUUUAAAAGGUGCAAAUGCAUCACUACCAGAUGGACCUGCGUUGUAUUAGCUAGUAGGUGAGGUAACGGCUCACCUAGGCGACGAUACAUAGCCGACCUGAGAGGGUGAUAGGCCACACUGGGACUGAGACACGGCCCAGACUCCUACGGGAGGCAGCAGUAGGGAAUCUUCGGCAAUGGGGGGAACCCUGACCGAGCAACGCCGCGUGAGUGAAGAAGGUUUUCGGAUCGUAAAGCUCUGUUGUUAAGGAAGAACGAGUGUGAGAAUGGAAAGUUCAUACUGUGACGGUACUUAACCAGAAAGGGACGGCUAACUACGUG
rnacentral:rRNA from 1 species